UUCUGUUUGAUUCUCUUUCCCCUUUCUAUUUUUCUCCAGGUUGUUGGUCUUAAUGUCUCAUCAGCCACUACCCCUGAGCUAUUAUUAAAGAGGUUUGAUCAUUAAUGUGAGUACAAGAGGACUCCCAAUGGAGUUGUGAUGGCUCCUUCUCAACUCAGAAAGUGGCUGGUUCUCUUCUGUGACGAGAUUAACCUUCCAGACCUUGACAUAUAUGGUACACAGGGAGUAAUAUCGUUCUUACGUCAGAUUGUCGAACACGGCGGAUUUUACAGGACCUCCGAUCACACGUGGGUGACAAUAGAGAGGAUACAGUUUGUAGGAGCGUGUAACCCACCAACUGACCGGGGAAGGAAACCACUGUCUCACAGAACUAAGAACCCUGUCAGGAAACACUCAUUAUUUCAUACUCAAUCCCUCUAGGACGUUGAGAGCUACGACCCAAUCCUGAACCCUGUCCUAUCCUAGACGACAACAGAAUCAUUACUGAGCUUGAGACUCUUAAGGAAGAGGCUGCAGAAGUUCAGAGGAAGAUGGAGGAGACUGAUACUGUAAUGGCUAAAGUUGACAGAGUCUCCCAGCAAUACCUGCCUCUC